CCUACGGGAGGCAGCAGUGAGGAAUAUUGGUCAAUGGACGAAAGUCUGAACCAGCCAUGCCGCGUGCAGGAAGACGGCUCUAUGAGUUGUAAACUUCUUUUGUACAAGGGUAAACCUGAAUACGUGUAUUCAUCUGAAUGUACUGUACGAAUAAGGAUCGGCUAACUCCGUGCCAGCAGCCGCGGUAAUACGGAGGAUCCAAGCGUUAUCCGGAUUUAUUGGGUUUAACGGGUGCGUAGACGGGUUGAUAAGUUAGAUGUGAAAGUUCCGGGCUCAACCCGGGAACUGCCAUUGAUACUGGUAGUGUUGAGGAUAGAUGCGGUAGGCGGAAUGUAUGGUGUAGCGGUGAAAUGCUUAGAGAUCAUGAAGAACACCGAUUGCGAAGGCAGCUUACCAAUCUAUAACUGACGUUGAGGCACGAAAGCGUGGGGAGCAAACAGGAUUAGAUACCCCAGUAGUC
rnacentral:rRNA from 1 species